rnacentral:tRNA from 1 species
GGAGACGUGGGUGAGUGGCUGAAACCAACGGUUUGCUAAACCGUCGUGCCCUAACUGGGGCACCCCGGGUUCGAAUCCCGGCGUCUCCGCCA